rnacentral:rRNA from 1 species
ACGAACGCUGGCGGCGUGCUUAACACAUGCAAGUCGAACGGAAAGGCCCUGCUUUUGUGGGGUGCUCGAGUGGCGAACGGGUGAGUAACACGUGAGUAACCUGCCCUUGACUUUGGGAUAACUUCAGGAAACUGGGGCUAAUACCGGAUAGGAGCUCCUGCUGCAUGGUGGGGGUUGGAAAGUUUCGGCGGCUGGGGAUGGACUCGCGGCUUAUCAGCUUGUUGGUGGGGUAGUGGCUUACCAAGGCUUUGACGGGUAGCCGGCCUGAGAGGGUGACCGGCCACAUUGGGACUGAGAUACGGCCCAGACUCCUACGGGAGGCAGCAGUGGGGAAUAUUGCACAAUGGGCGGAAGCCUGAUGUAGCAACGCCGCGUGCGGGAUGACGGCCUUCGGGUUGUAAACCGCUUUCGCCUGUGACGAAGCGUGAGUGACGGUAAUGGGUAAAGAAGCACCGGCUAACUACGUG